rnacentral:rRNA from 1 species
UACGGGGGGGGCAAGCGUUGUUCGGAAUUACUGGGCGUAAAGGGCUCGUAGGUGGCCAACUAAGUCAGACGUGAAAUCCCUCAGCUUAACUGGGGAACUGCGUCUGAUACUGGAUGGCUUGAGUUUGGGAGAGGGAUGCGGAAUUCCAGGCGUAGCGGUGAAAUGCGUAGAUAUCUGGAGGAACACCGGUGGCGAAGGCGGCAUCCUGGACCAACACUGACGCUGAGGAGCGAAAGCUAGGGGAGCAAACGGG